rnacentral:rRNA from 1 species
UACGUAGGCAGCGAGCGUUGUUCGGAGUUACUGGGCGUAAAGGGUGCGUAGGCGGCGCGGUAAGUCGGGUGUGAAAUCUCGGAGCUUAACUCCGAAACUGCAUUCGAUACUGCCGUGCUUGAGGACUGGAGAGGAGACUGGAAUUUACGGUGUAGCAGUGAAAUGCGUAGAUAUCGUAAGGAAGACCAGUGGCGGAAGGCGGGGUCUCUGGACAGUUCCUGACACUGAGACACGAAGGCCAGGGGAGCAAACGGG